UCCGGUUACUAUAGCGAGAAGGAAACACCUGUUCCCAUUCCGAACACAGAAGUGAAGGGUCUCAGCGGCGAUGGUACUGAGGGGUAGACCUCGGGAGAGUAGCACGUAGCCGGUU
rnacentral:rRNA from 1 species